rnacentral:rRNA from 1 species
UGGGCCCGGUAUAUGGGCCUUUCGUCCGAAUUAUUUGGCCCAGUUUGAAUUUAUUUGCCCGGCCCAGCUUCUAGGGCCUUCAUGUUACGCUUCUGCUCAUAUAAAAGCACGAACGCAAAUGUCCCAACCCUAGAAUCGCUGUUUUUCCUCUCGCUCCUCCUGUGGGCGGCGCCGCCGCUGCGCACAGAACACAUCCUCGCCAUCGUAGCUUCUCCGGCGUCCGGCCAACGCGCUCACUAGCCUCCCGCCUUCCUCCACAUCUCCUCGCCUCCACCCCAUCCAGUUCGUGCCAUUCGCUGCUCCAAGACAAGGGCAUGGCGCUCGGCGGCUGCGGCAACGAAGCUGAUGGUGCACGAGCCAACCAUGAAGGCAGUAGCACGGGGCAGCGACAGCAGCAUGGAGGGCGUCCUCUUGUUUGGGAAGGUAAUGGAACUGCAAAUAGGAGUGGCAGCGGCGACCAGGAUGCAAAUGGAAGUGGUUCCCAAAGACCUUGGAAAGGACUUAAAGACAAUAACUUAUAUGAUCCUUGGAACCAUGCAUGGCCGUAUUAUGGGGGUUUUGAUUGCACGUACUGCAGCCUAAAGCACAAAGGUGGAGGUGCAACCCGUGUCGCGGAGCAUCUUGGUGGUAUUGUAGGUAAUGUGAGGAGCUGCCCCAAUGUGCCAAGAAAUGUGAGAGAUGCAAUGAGAGAGUGCCGGGAUGAAUCAAGGAGGAAGCAAAGAGACAAACAAAAUAGCAGGCUGAGAAUUGAAAGAAAUAUUAUGGAAGGGUUGUAUAAAAAAGGAGGGGUGGUUAACGUACCAGAUGAUGAUGAAGAAGAAAUUCAGAUGAAUAUUAGAGAAGCAUUGCGUGACCCGAAUGUCUCUCGCAGAAUUGAAAGGAGAAUUGGCAAGGGGGGUGUGGGUGAUGUGCAUGUUUCUGUUGGUAAAAGGAGUAUCAGCGCCUAUUUUGACAGGCAAUUAUCUAGCAACAAAGUAUCUAUGCAGCCCAAGAUCAGUAGUGCUUUGGAUCCUAAUUCAAGAGAUGCACUUGGUCUAGCAAAGAAGUCGUCUUCUAUAUGACAAGCUCCACAAGCUAGUUUCUCUACGCUACAACUUAAAGAUACGUGCUGAAGAAGAUCAAGAGAAAGAGAGAGAUAUAGAUAAAGAAAUUGAUCCAAGUGUAUUGCUAAUGGAUACCACAAUGUUUGAUGAAACAAACCCAAUAAUGGAGUGGCUGAAUGAGGAUGUAGAGGAUCCGAUUGUGGAUGGAGCUGAUGCAGCUAGUGCUGUUUUUGAGCAAAUAAGGCGCCUCAACUCAAGCAGGAAGGCGUCUUAUGUUGGUUCAAAGGGUAAUAACAAGAAAAGAAAGAGGAAUGAUGAUGAUGAGAAUGAGUUUCUUGAAACUGAGAGUGAGGAUGAUGAAGAAGAGAAUGAAUAUGUUGAUAAUGACAUCGAGGAUGAUGAUGGGGUGAGUGAGGAUGAUGAGGAUGGUGAACAAGAUCAGCUAGAGACACAAAUGCAACUUGAAGAAGAGACACAAGUACAAGUUCAAAAGGAGGCACCAACAAGCACUGGCCAUUUGGAGACUAGCUCUGGACGACUUAUUAGGAAGAAGACCAAGAACGUCAACAGCCUCUACUCGUAAAUUUGAAAUGGCACGUGAGCAAAGGAUAUCAAGAAGCUUUUGGAUGUUGGGAAGCUUGGAGCUGAUGCUUCAAAUAAGCUGAUGGUUGUCUUUUGGAGAUGUUUCUAUGUUUAAUGCUUUAAAGUCUUUUGGCUGUACUGGACUAUUUAAACUUUGAACUAUGCUGUGAUGCUUGAACUGAUGCUGGACGGUUAAGGGUUUAUGUCAGAGGCAACUUUAUAACUAAUGUGUGCCUGUUAUGUUGGACUGUUAAGGGUUAUGUUGGAGGCAAUUUUAUAACUAAUGUGUGUCUGCUAUGUUGGAUUGUUAACUGUUAUGUUGGAGGCAACAUUAUAGCUAACGUGUGCCUGUUAUGUUGGGCAGAUUCAAUUUUCUUAAUCCCUAGAGCUUAUUUGCUAAAGUUUAUAAGAUCUCUCCUGAUGGUUGU